CAACACUCAAGCCUAGCUUGGUAUUGAACCACGUCCGCAAGGACCGGUUUUAAAAUCAGUGGCGGCGCCAUCUGGCUCUAAGCGUAGUAAUACUCCUCGCUUUUGGGUCCUGAUGGAUGCUGGCCAGCAACCCCCAACUUUCUAAGU
rnacentral:misc_RNA from 1 species